rnacentral:rRNA from 1 species
GCCCUUAAGCACUCGGUGAAGUAGGUGAACAAGCUGGAAAGCUUGGCGAUACAGGGUGAUAGCCCCGUAACCGACGCUUCAUCGAGCGUGAAAUCGAGUAGGGCGGGACACGUGAUAUCCUGUCUGAAUAUGGGGGGACCAUCCUCCAAGGCUAAAUACUCCUGACUGACCGAUAGUGAACCAGUACCGUGAGGGAAAGGCGAAAAGAACCCCUGUGAGGGGAGUGAAAUAGAACCUGAAACCGUGUACGUACAAGCAGUAGGAGCACCUUCGUGGUGUGACUGCGUACCUUUUGUAUAAUGGGUCAGCGACUUAUAUUCAGUGGCAAGGUUAACCGUAUAGGGGAGCCGUAGCGAAAGCGAGUCUUAACUGGGCGCUCAGUCUCUGGAUAUAGACCCGAAACCGGGUGAUCUAGCCAUGGGCAGGUUGAAGGUUGAGUAACAUCAACUGGAGGACCGAACCGACUAAUGUUGAAAAAUUAGCGGAUGACUUGUGGCUAGGGGUGAAAGGCCAAUCAAACUCGGAGAUAGCUGGUUCUCCCCGAAAGC